rnacentral:lncRNA from 1 species
GUCUGAGCCAUCUUCCCCCUGCUCUUCCUCCUCCCUCAGCUCCGAGUCAUCGCGUCUCUCCACAGAGCCAUCCAGCGAGGCUCUUGGGGUAGGGGAGGUGCUCCAUGUGAAGACAGAGUCCUUGGCACCCCCACUGUGUCUCCUGGGAGAUGACCCAACAUCCUCAUUUGAAACCGUCCAGAUCAACGUUAUCCCCACCUCUGAUGAUUCCUCAGAUGUCCAGACCAAGAUAGAACCUGUCUCUCCAUGUUCUUCCGUCAACUCUGAGGCCUCCCUGCUCUCAGCCGACUCCUCCAGCCAGGCUUUUAUAGGAGAGGAGGUCCUGGAAGUGAAGACAGAGUCCCUGUCCCCUUCAGGAUGCCUCCUGUGGGAUGUCCCAGCCCCCUCACUUGGAGCUGUCCAGAUCAGCAUGGGCCCAUCCCUUGAUGGCUCCUCAGGCAAAGCCCUGCCCACCCGGAAGCCGCCACUGCAGCCCAAACCUGUAGUGCUAACCACUGUCCCAAUGCCAUCCAGAGCU